UACGGAGGGGGCUAGCGUUGUUCGGAAUUACUGGGCGUAAAGCGCACGUAGGCGGACUGUUACGUCGGGGGUGAAAUCCUGGGGCUCAACCUCAGAAUUGCCUCCGAUACUGGCAGUCUCGAGUGCGGGAGAGGUGAGUGGAAUUCCCAGUGUAGAGGUGAAAUUCGUAGAUAUUGGGAAGAACACCAGUGGCGAAGGCGGCUCACUGGCCCGUAACUGACGCUGAGGUGCGAAAGCGUGGGGAGCAAACAGG
rnacentral:rRNA from 1 species